GAUGAACGCUGGCGGCGUGCCUAAUACAUGCAAGUCGAACGCGCCGACAAGGGAACUGGUUCCUUUCACCGCGAGUGACGCACGGGUAAGUACCACGUGAGAAACCUACCCUUCAGCGGUAGAUAACCAUCGGAAACGAUGACUACUACCGCAUAGUUCUUCCACUCGCAUGACUUUAAUGGGAAACGCCGCUUCGGCUGUCACUCAAGGAUGGUCCCCGGGUGCAUUAGCUAGACGGUUGGGUAAGGUCCUACCGUGGCUUUGAUUGAUAUCCGACCUGAGAGGGGGAUAGGCAACAUUAGGACUGAGACACGGACAAAAGGACUACGGGAGGCAGCAGUAGGGAAUGGUACGCAAUGGACGGAAGUCUGACGGAGUGAGCAGGCGCGUGUGAAGAAGGUAUUCGGAGCGUAAAGCCGUGUUAUGAGAGAAGAAUAGCUUAUAGAGUAAAUGUUAUAGGUUUGACGGUAACUGAUAAGAAAGCAACGGCUAACUACGUG
rnacentral:rRNA from 1 species